rnacentral:rRNA from 1 species
GCUUACGGCCAUACCAGCCUGGGUACGCCCGUUCUCGUCUCAUCUCGGAAGCUAAGCAGGGUUGGGCCUGGUUAGUACUUGGAUGGGAGACCGCCUGGGAAUACCAGGUGCUGUAAGCA